rnacentral:misc_RNA from 1 species
GAACUGCGAUAAGUAAUGUGAAUUGCAGAAUUCAGUGAAUCACCGAGUCUUUGAACGCACAUUGCGCCCCCUGGCAUUCCGGGGGGCAUGCCUGUCCGAGCGUCAUUGCUGCCCUUCAAGCCCGGCUUGUGUGUUGGGUCGUCGUCCCCUCCGGGGGACGGGCCCGAAAGGCAGCGGCGGCACCGCGUCCGGUCCUCGAGCGUAUGGGGCUUUGUCACCCGCUCGAUAAGGACCGGCCGGGCGCCAGCCGGCGUCUCCAACCUUUUUUUCUCAGGUUGACCUCGGAUCAGGUAGGGAUACCCGCUGAACUUAAGC